GUGAACACAGCAGUAAGUCAUCAAGGUGAACACAGCAGUAAGUCAUCAAGGUGAACACAGCAGUAAGUCAUCAAGGUGAACACAGCAGUAAGUCAUCAAGGUGAACACAGCAGUAAGUCAUCAAGGUGAACACAGCAGUAAGUCAUCAAGGUGAACACAGCAGUAAGUCAUCAAGGUGAACACAGCAGUAAGUCAUCAAGGUGAACACAGCAGUAAGUCAUCAAGGUGAACACAGCAGUAAGUCAUCAAGGUGAACACAGCAGUAAGUCAUCAAGGUGAACACAGCAGUAAGUCAUCAAGGUGAACACAGCAGUAAGUCAUCAAGGUGAACACAGCAGUAAGUCAUCAAGGUGAACACAGCAGUAAGUCAUCAAGGUGAGUACAGUAUCAUUAGGUUCCUCUAAGUAUCAGACAGUAAUACGGUAAUGGUAUCUCUAUGGAUA